CCCCGGAGCCAGAGGUCAAGCUGGUGUGAUGGGUUUCCCCGGUCCCAAAGGUGCUGCGGGUGAACCUGGCAAACCCGGUGAGAGAGGAGCUCCUGGCCCCCCUGGUGCUGUUGGUGCUGCUGGUAAGGAUGGUGAAGCCGGUGCCCAGGGUCCCCCCGGCCCCACUGU